CGGGGCGUAGCGCAGUUUGGUAGCGCGCUUGCUUGGGGUGCAAGAGGUCGUGGGUUCAAGUCCCGCCGCUCCGACCA
rnacentral:tRNA from 2 species